ensembl:lncRNA
GUGCGGCGCAUGGGUCAGGAGAUCCUGAAUGGAAAACCACAGGCCUGCCCGCCCGCCGCCUCCGCUCCGUGAACUUCCCACUGUUUCUGGUCAGCCUUCCCCGCAGUGGCCUCUAGAUCAGGGUGUCAUUUCCUGUUUUCUGGCUGCUGUUCUUCAGCUGCUAAGUCCUGUCUCUCUGCAAACCCAAUGACUGCUGCACACCAGGCUCCUCUGUCCUCCCGUCUCCCAGAGCUCGCUCAAACUCGUGUCCGUCGAGUCGAUGAUGCCAUCCAACCAUCGCAUCCUCUGCCACCCCCUUCUCUUCCCGCCUUCAGUCUUUCCCAGCAUCAGGGGCUUUUCAGUGAGCCAGCUCUGUCCUGGUGCUCACAGUUUUAAUAAGACUGUUGUUUUGUUUUCUUUCUUUUUUUUUUUUUAUGGCUAUGAUACUUUCUUGAAGUUCUGAGGGCACUAAUCCAUGUGUCUGGAGUCCUCUCCUCUUUCACCGAGUACAGGGCAGGUUGUAACUUUUUGUGUGAAGAGAGAGACAGUAAAGAGCUCCUGCUUCGUGAGCUGUCUGGAGUCAGUUACUUGCUGUCUGUUAUUUUUAAGAAACUGUACAUAAAAGCCAUCCUUCGUUUUUCCACGGCCACUGUGUGCUGAGGCUUUACCAACCCUCUCUGGAAUUGGGUGGGUGGUCCUGUGCAUCCCACCUGGCUGCCAGCACAGGAUGCCCCCACGUCUCCUGGUUGCUGCAGUACCUGUGACUGUCAGCACAACGCUGCUUGCCACAGAGCCACCGGCCAACGGACGGGACAGACACUGGCCGUUCCUGGCUCCUACACAUUCAGAGGAACGGCUUCCUGGUCUGCAGGGUCGUAAAACCUUCAGACCCAGGACAAGACAAUCAUUAACUGCUGUCCAGUUUAUCAAGGAGAGAAACUCCUGGUGGAUCGUCAGCUCUUAAACAUGCAGAUCAGAUCAGAUCAGAUCAGUCGCUCAGUCGUGUCCGACUCUUUGCGACCCCGUGAAUCGCAGCACGCCAGGCUCCUAAAUAACGGUGUGUGGUCCUGAGAAAGGGUCAAGGGGUGGCGUCACUAUGUCUGGAGAAAGUGAGGAACUGGGACCCAAAAGAGAGCCAUAAAGACAACAAACAACGUCAC